rnacentral:snoRNA from 1 species
CCCCUCUCAGAGUCACACCUGGAGAGUUUCCAGUAUUCUACCAGUCUCGACUAUGGGAGAGAGAGUCAAGCAGAGGCAUACCUAUUCCAUUCCUAGCUUGGGCAGUGACUAGCAAGUGGAAGGCAAUCUGCUACAUGU